rnacentral:rRNA from 1 species
AGAUGGGAGCUUGCUCCCUGAUGUUAGCGGCGGACGGGUGAGUAACACGUGGGUAACCUGCCUGUAAGACUGGGAUAACUCCGGGAAACCGGGGCUAAUACCGGAUGGUUGUUUGAACCGCAUGGUUCAAACAUAAAAGGUGGCUUCGGCUACCACUUACAGAUGGACCCGCGGCGCAUUAGCUAGUUGGUGAGGUAAUGGCUCACCAAGGCAACGAUGCGUAGCCGACCUGAGAGGGUGAUCGGCCACACUGGGACUGAGACACGGCCCAGACUCCUACGGGAGGCAGCAGUAGGGAAUCUUCCGCAAUGGACGAAAGUCUGACGGAGCAACGCCGCGUGAGUGAUGAAGGUUUUCGGAUCGUAAAGCUCUGUUGUUAGGGAAGAACAAGUACCGUUCGAAUAGGGCGGUACCUUGACGGUACCUAACCAGAAAGCCACGGCUAACUACGUGCCAGCAGCCGCGGUAAUACGUAGGUGGCAAGCGUUGUCCGGAAUUAUUGGGCGUAAAGGGCUCGCAGGCGGUUUCUUAAGUCUGAUGUGAAAGCCCCCGGCUCAACCGGGGAGGGUCAUUGGAAACUGGGGAACUUGAGUGCAGAAGAGGAGAGUGGAAUUCCACGUGUAGCGGUGAAAUGCGUAGAGAUGUGGAGGAACACCAGUGGCGAAGGCGACUCUCUGGUCUGUAACUGACGCUGAGGAGCGAAAGCGUGGGGAGCGAACAGGAUUAGAUACCCUGGUAGUCCACGCCGUAAACGAUGAGUGCUAAGUGUUAGGGGGUUUCCGCCCCUUAGUGCUGCAGCUAACGCAUUAAGCACUCCGCCUGGGGAGUACGGUCGCAAGACUGAAACUCAAAGGAAUUGACGGGGUGGAGCAUGUGGUUUAAUUCGAAGCAACGCGAAGAACCUUACCAGGUCUUGACAUCCUCUGACAAUCCUAGAGAUAGGACGUCCCCUUCGGGGGCAGAGUGACAGGUGGUGCAUGGUUGUCGUCAGCUCGUGUCGUGAGAUGUUGGGUUAAGUCCCGCAACGAGCGCAACCCUUGAUCUUAGUUGCCAGCAUUCAGUUGGGCACUCUAAGGUGACUGCCGGUGACAAACCGGAGGAAGGUGGGGAUGACGUCAAAUCAUCAUGCCCCUUAUGACCUGGGCUACACACGUGCUACAAUGGACAGAACAAAGGGCAGCGAAACCGCGAGGUUAAGCCAAUCCCACAAAUCUGUUCUCAGUUCGGAUCGCAGUCUGCAACUCGACUGCGUGAAGCUGGAAUCGCUAGUAAUCGCGGAUCAGCAUGCCGCGGUGAAUACGUUCCCGGGCCUUGUACACACCGCCCGUCACACCACGAGAGUUUGUAACACCCGAAGUCGGUGAGGUAACCUUUUAGGAGCCAGCCGCCGAAGGUGGG